UACGUAGGGGGCAAGCGUUGUCCGGAUUUAUUGGGCGUAAAGAGCGUGUAGGCGGCUUCACAGGUCCGCUGUGAAAACUCGAGGCUCAACCUCGAGAUGUCGGUGGAAACCGUGUGGCUAGAGUCCGGAAGAGGAGAGUGGAAGUUCCCGGUGUAGCGGUGAAAUGCGCAGAUAUCGGGAAGAACACCCGUGGCGAAGGCGGCUCUCUGGGACGGUACUGACGCUGAGACGGCGAAAGCGUGGGGAGCGAACAGG
rnacentral:rRNA from 1 species